rnacentral:sRNA from 1 species
UAUGGACAAAGUCAAUACCCGAACCUAUAUUAAUCUUGCUGAGUGGUGAAACUCAGUAUGUUUCUUCAUCCAAGAUAAUUAACACUACACAGCAAGGAUUAUACAAGGUGCGUUCUUGACUUCUUUCCUUCCUCCCACAUCCUACGGUAAACAUAUUCUUCUUUCCCAUUUGCUCUUCGUUUCAAGUCUAAACUGCAACAUAAGACAGUCAAAAAAUGAUGUCAGAAUGAAGAAACUGUUUUUAAGGACGUAGCGACUGUCAAGAUUUAGGCGAAAAAAAAGGAAGAUGCUUCGUUUAUGGUUGAUCAAAUAUUUAACAGAUAGUUGUAGCACUAACCAGAAGUAGAUUUUAAAAUGUAAAAUCAGUUUUCAUGUCUGUCUACUUUUUUUUUGCAAUAUCAAAGGUUGGUUUAUUUAGGAGUACAGCAUGUACUUAUAAAAUUUAUCACAUUUCCAUCUAAAUAAAUAUUUCCUG